rnacentral:rRNA from 1 species
GUGAGGAAUAUUGCGCAAUGGAGGCAACUCUGACGCAGCCAUGCCGCGUGCAGGAAGAAGGCGCUACGCGUUGUAAACUGCUUUUAACCGGGAAGAAACCCCAGGACGUGUCCUGGGUUGACGGUACCGGAGGAAUAAGCACCGGCUAACUUCGUGCCAGCAGCCGCGGUAAUACGAAGGGUGCAAGCGUUAUCCGGAUUCAUUGGGUUUAAAGGGUGCGUAGGCGGAGCGUUAAGUCAGUGGUGAAAUCCUGCAGCUUAACUGUAGACUUGCCAUUGAUACUGGCGCUCUUGAGUGCGCUGGAAGUGGGCGGAAUGUGCCGUGUAGCGGUGAAAUGCUUAGAUAUGGCACAGAACACCAAUUGCGAAGGCAGCUCACUAAGGCGAUACUGACGCUGAGGCACGAAAGCGUGGGGAUCGAACAGGAUUAGAAACCCGUGUAGUCC